CUCUGCCUCACUGUCUCACACUUAGACACACACACACACACACACACACACACACACACACACACACACAUACACACACACACACAGAAAUGAUAGAAGAGUACAAACUCAUGUUUUGACGAUAAAACUGCAUACAGUACACCACACUGCAGAAUAUCUCAGUCAGGGGAUGG